UACGUAGGGGGCAAGCGUUGUCCGGAAUCAUUGGGCGUAAAGCGCGUGUAGGCGGCCAGAUAAGUCCGUUCUGAAAGCCCGGGGCUCAACCCCGGGAGGCGGAUGGAUACUGUUUGGCUCGAGUCCGGAAGAGGCGAGUGGAAUUCCCGGUGUAGCGGUGAAAUGCGCAGAUAUCGGGAGGAACACCAAUGGCGAAGGCAGCUCGCUGGGACGGUACUGACACUGAGACGCGAAAGCGUGGGGAGCAAACAGG
rnacentral:rRNA from 1 species